AUUGAACGCUGGCGGCAGGCCUAACACAUGCAAGUCGAGCGGAGGGGCGGAGGGGGAAGUAAUGCCUAGGACUCUGCAUGGGAGUGGGGGAUAACGUACGGAAACGGGAGCUGUUACCGCAUACUCUCAGCUGAGCCUGGGGCGGAUUAGCUAGUUGGUGGGGUAAAGGCCUACCAAGGCGACGAUCAGUAACUGGUCUGAGAGGAUGAUCAGUCACACUGGAACUUAGACACGGUCCAGACGCCUACGGGAGGCAGCAGUGGGGAAUAUUGGACAAUGGGCGAAAGCCUGAUGCAGCCAUGCCGCGUGUAUGAAGAAGGCCUUCGGGUUGUAAAGUACUUUCAGCGGGGAGGCGUUACCAGCAGAAGAAGCACCGGCUAACUCCGUGCCAGCAGCCGCGGUAAUUC
rnacentral:rRNA from 1 species